UACGAAGGGGGCUAGCGUUGCUCGGAAUCACUGGGCGUAAAGCGCACGUAGGCGGAUAUGUCAGUCAGGGGUGAAAUCCCGGGGCUCAACCUCGGAACUGCCCUUGAUACAGCAUAUCUUGAGUCCGAUAGAGGUGGGCGGAAUUCCUAGUGUAGAGGUGAAAUUCGUAGAUAUUAGGGAAGAACACCGGUGGCGAAGGCGGCCCACUGGAUCGGUACUGACGCUGAGGUGCGAAAGCGUGAGGAGCAAACAGG
rnacentral:rRNA from 1 species